GACGAACGCUGGCGGCGUGCUUAACACAUGCAAGUCGAGCGAUGAAGCACCUUCGGGUGUGAAUUAGCGGCGAACGGGUGAGGAACACGUGAGAAAUCUGCCUUCAACUCUGGGAUAACUCCGGGAAACCGGGGCUAAUACCGGAUAUGAGCCUUGAUCGCAUGAUCAGGGCUGGAAAGUUUUUCGGUUGAAGAUGAUCUCGCGGCCUAUCAGCUUGUUGGUGAGGUAGUGGCUCACCAAGGCGACGACGGGUAGCCGGCCUGAGAGGGCGACCGGCCACACUGGGACUGAGACACGGCCCAGACUCCUACGGGAGGCAGCAGUGGGGAAUAUUGCACAAUGGGCGCAAGCCUGAUGCAGCAACGCCGCGUGAGGGAUGACGGCCUUCGGGUUGUAAACCUCUUUUAGCAGGGAAGAAGCGAAAGUGACGGUACCUGCAGAAAAAGCACCGGCUAACUACGUGCCAGCAGCCGCGGUAA
rnacentral:rRNA from 1 species